rnacentral:rRNA from 1 species
UAGAAGUACGAGGACGCUUCCUUCGGGAAGCGAGCGUACACAGGUGCUGCAUGGCUGUCGUCAGCUCGUGUCGUGAGAUGUUGGGUUAAGUCCCGCAACGAGCGCAACCCUUGCCUUUAGUUGCCAGCAGUUCGGCUGGGCACUCUAAAGGGACUGCCGGUGUUAAACCGGAGGAAGGUGGGGAUGACGUCAAGUCCUCAUGGCCUUUAUGACCAGGGCUACACACGUACUACAAUGGCCGAUACAAAGGGCAGCGACACUGCGAGGUGAAGCCAAUCCCGUAAAAUCGGUCUCAGUCCGGAUUGGAGUCUGCAACUCGACUCCAUGAAGUUGGAAUCGCUAGUAAUCGUGGAUCAGCAUGCCACGGUGAAUACGUUCCCGGGCCUU